GCAUCUCAUUAAGACGUUUAUUCCACAGACCAUCCAGGAGCUGUGCUGUGAACUAUGGGACAGGUGCCUACAAUGCUACUACAGCAGGGUGGAUCUGCUGCAUUGGCAGAAAAGUUCAACGUUGGUCCUACAUCUAACCUAUUUUAACCAGCUGUGAGUCAGACUAACACGGCUGCUACUCUGAAACCUGUUUCUAAUUGGUUUCUUUUGAAAAUGCCCAAGGUGGACUGAUGACCUGCAACGUUCCGGAUGAAAAUACCUAAACUCUGUUUACCAGAGGAACAACACAGAAACACAUUUAAAGUUACUGUCACAAACAACCUUCAUCUUCCAUCAAAAGUGCACACUCACAACUACUGCCCAGCCAAACCUUGCUGGACAGACUAUAUUCACAAGUACUUUC